rnacentral:lncRNA from 1 species
GGUGACCCAGUUACACAUACAUGUAUACAUUCUUUUUCCUCACAUUAUCAUGUUCCAUCACAAGUGACCAGACAUAGUUCCCAUGAUACACAGCAGGAUCUCAUUGUUAAUCCAUUCCAGAGGCAAUAGUUUGCAUCUAUUAACCCCAAGCUCCCAAUCCACCCCACUCCCUCCUCCUCCCCCUUGGAAACCACAAUUCUAUUCUCCAAGUCCAUGAUUUUCUUGUCUGUGGAAAGGUUCAUUUGUGCCAUAUAUUAGAUUCCAGAUAUAAGUGGUAUCAUGUGGUAUUUGUCUUUCUCUUUCUCAUUCACUUCACUCACUAUGAGAGUCUCUAGUUCUGUCCAUGUUGCUGCAAAUGGCAUUAUUUCAUUCGUUCUUAUGGCUGAGUAGUAUUCAUUGUGUAUAUAUACAACCUCUUCCUGAUCCAGUCAUCUAUCAGUGGACAUUUGGGUUGAUUCCAUGUCUUGGCUAUUGUGAAUAGUGCUGCAAUGAACAUGUGGGUGCAUGUGUCUUUUUCAAGGAAAGCUUUGUCUGGAUAUAUGUCCAGAAGUGGGGUUGCUGGUCAUAUGGUAGUUCUAUGUAUAGAUUUCUAAGGCACCUCCAUAAUGUUCUCCAUAGUGGCUGUACCGGCUUACAUUCCCACCAACAGUGCAGGAGGGUUCCCUUUUCUCCAUACCCCCUCCAGCACUUGUUAUUUGUGGACUUAUUAAUGAUGGCCAUUCUGACUUGUGUGAGGCAGAUUUUUGAGCUCCUGGUUUUAUUGGGUCCUAUGAUCAAAGAUAUCAUAGGUCCCUGGAUCUCUCCUCCAAUACUUAUUUCCAAGUAAAUGCUUCCACCAACUGGAAGUAAAUGUGGAGGGUAGGCCAUACCUAUUGCAUGCAGGCUUUAUUCUCAGCAACUUGAGUAGUGCCUGGUACAACAUAUGUACUCAGCAAGCAACUGCUGAGUAAAUGUAUGCAGAGACUUUACCUACAAUAUUUCAUUGAAUUGACAAAAUCACACUUUGAGACAGAUGGGGUGAUCCCCAUUUCAAAUAGGAGGGAACGGAAGUAACAUCUGUGAUUUGCCCAAAGUUUACCUAACUAGUAUAAUGAAGAGAGCUAGGUUUUACUGCAGGCCUAUGUGACUGUGAAUCCUGGGUUUUGCUUUCUUGUUUUUGUUUUAUUUGGGACUUAUUAUAUAGGAAUAGUUCCUUUACACCAAAGCUAGAAAUUUCAAAUAAAAAUAUAAUAAGUGAAUAUUGAUCUAAUAUUCAAUUUUAAAAAUUCAAUACAUGUCAAAAGUAGUAUUAAGUUAUAGUAAUAAAUUAAGGUUUCUCUAACAAGAUUCAUAGAAAUUAUAUCUAAAUCAUGGUGUUAGGUGUUCUCUGUUUUCUUUUGUUUUUAUCAUACUCUCUUGAUCUUUUAUAUUCAGUACUUAGCAGUGAAUGAUGAUCAGUUUUAACAGAUAAGGUUAACAUUCUCACUGGCUUUUUGAACCUUAAAUCUAAGUUCCAUAUUUUUCUAAAAGUCAACCAAUGAAAAGUGUCUUUAACUUACCUACCUAAACAAAAGCAAUCUAAGGCUGGAGGAGCGUAAGAAUAUAAGGACAGAAGUCUGAGGGAAAGUGAUAACAUUAAUACAUUAAUUGAAUUGUAUCAUGUGCUAUGAGCAAGACUUUAUCUCAUUUAAUUCUAACAAAACUUUUAGGAAGUACUUUUUUGUUGUUGUUAUUUUUUGUUAUUUAUUUAUUUAAUUUUCUUACCUUGUAGAUGGGGGAAACAAAAAGAAGCUUGGACAGACUCAGUGACUUGCCCACAAUGAAACACCUAUUAAGCAGGAGAGAAAGAUUGUUCUGAUAACAACUGGUGUUGACUCCAUGAGGACUCUAUCAGGUCUCAAGAAGUUUCAUCUUAAAAAGCGACUGGAAUAUUAGGUUAUUUCAUUAUAAGCUAUAUUUUUUUAUCAUCUAAAAGUAAUGGCUUAUUUCUUCUCAAAUCCAGGAGAAAAAUUAUUGAUUCAAGGAGAUAAAACAUGAUAGGGUCCCCACCUUCUCCCCAGCACACACAGAGUGCUCAAUGUGAAAUGUAUAGGCAUUAAACAUUCUCUGUGAAUAUCAUUUGGUUCAACAGAGGUUUUGACUAGAGCUAGACAUAAAGAAAACAGGAUACAUGAGAGAGGGAAGGCUCCUAUAGCCACCACGUUUAUGUACAUCAUUUGCUGGAAAUGUUUUUCCAUCUAUUCUCUACUUGGAUAAAAAUAUAAGGGGAAGAAAAGAAAAGCAGAAAGUGAAAGAGUGAAUGGAAACAUUCAGUAGGUUGUACUUAUCAUCUGUUCCUGAGUUAAAGACUAAAAUAAAUCACCACUUCCCCUUCCCUCCAUAUCAUCCAUAUCACACUAUUUUCUAGUUGCUUUGAUUGCAAGAUAUAUCAGCUCACUGCCAACAUUUGAUUUAUGAUUCAGAACUAGGUGAUGAAUCAAGAAAAUACUGUUUUGCAUAAAGUUUCUGUGGCUGCUUGAAAAUUCUCCUGGGAAAUGCAACGUUUGUCCAUCUUUCACGGUAGUGAAUUUAGUGACAUGUACAAUGUAGUAAAAAGAGGAUAAAAAGAAGAAGAGAAACAGUUUGGUGUCUGGAAACCAAGUCUGUCAUAUUCACAGUAAGAAAGGAAAAUCACAAAGUUUGUUUUGUUUUUCUUUGUUAUAAGAAUCUGGCUUUGAGAAUAGUGGCAUUUUGCAGUCACCAUGGGAUAUGUUUGUCUGGGAAAAAAGGCUCUUCUGGUGAACAGUUCUCAAGGUGACCUGGUAGAUUAAGAAUUUAAACAAGAAAUGUCAACGGCAAAAAUGAGUGCUGAGGAGAAUAAUGUUAAUGCCUUCUGAGAAGAGAGCACAGAGAUUUAACAAUAAAUAAAGUUGGAGCUUUUGAUGUUUGGCACAAUUUCCUCAAAAAAAUUAUGUUCAAUUAUGGUUCAGGCCCGAGCACUACUCUAUAGUAUGUAGGUAGAAAUGCUUCUAAGACACUUAACCCCCAAAUUCAAGAUCUAUCUUAAAUGUUUUUCAAGAUACAAAUAAAACUCAAUGUAACCAUAAAAAAAAAAAAAGAUUUUCAGUUCUCAAUCAAUAGUAAUAUCCAAGUCAAAUGGAUUCAUCUGAUUCUGAGGUACAGAAAGUAUCAGGAUUCCUCAAAUUUUCUGGAAGAGGUGAGGGAAUGUUACACUUUGGCAGGUGUUGGGGAGGGUUAGAAAUAUUAAAAAUAAUCUAUUGUUGAAAUCAAACAGCUGAAGACAAGUCUGAAAAUUUUGUAUUAGACUACUCACAAUAUAAGAUUUCCA